CAAGAUUCCGGGCCCUACGGGGGCGCAGCAGGCGCGAAAACCUUUACNCUGUACGCAAAGUGCGAUAAAGGGGACUCCGAGUGUGAAGGCAUAGAGCCUUCACUUUUGUACACCGUAAGGUGGUGUACGAAUAAGGGCUGGGCAAGACCGGUGCCAGCCGCCGCGGUAAUACCGGCAGCCCGAGUGAUGGCCGAUAUUAUUGGGCCUAAAGCGUCCGUAGCUGGCCGGACAAGUCCGUUGGGAAAUCUGUUCGCUUAACGAGCAGGCGUCCAGCGGAAACUGUUCGGCUUGGGACCGGAAGACCUGAGGGGUACGUCCGGGGUAGGAGUGAAAUCCUGUAAUCCUGGACGGACCACCGGUGGCGAAAGCGCCUCAGGAGGACGGAUCCGACAGUGAGGGACGAAAGCUAGGGUCUCGAACCGGAUUAGAUACCCGGGUAGUCCUAGCUGUAAACGAUGCCCGCUAGGUGUGGCGCAGGCUACGAGCCUGCGCUGUGCCGUAGGGAAGCCGAGAAGCGGGCCGCCUGGGAAGUACGUCUGCAAGGAUGAAACUUAAAGGAAUUGGCGGGGGAGCACUACAACCGGAGGAGCCUGCGGUUUAAUUGGACUCAACGCCGGACAUCUCACCAGCUCCGACAGUAGUAAUGACGGUCAGGUUGAUGACCUUACCCGAUGCUACUGAGAGGAGGUGCAUGGCCGCCGUCAGCUCGUACCGUGAGGCGUCCUGUUAAGUCAGGCAACGAGCGAGACCCGCACUCCUAAUUGCCAGCAGUACCCUUUGGGUAGCUGGGUACAUUAGGUGGACUGCCGCUGCUAAAGCGGAGGAAGGAACGGGCAACGGUAGGUCAGUAUGCCCCGAAUGAGCUGGGCAACACGCGGGCUACAAUGGUCGAGACAAUGGGAUGCAACUCCGAGAGGAGGCGCUAAUCUCCUAAACUCGAUCGUAGUUCGGAUUGAGGGCUGAAACUCGCCCUCAUGAAGCUGGAUUCGGUAGUAAUCGCG
rnacentral:rRNA from 1 species